rnacentral:rRNA from 1 species
UACGGGGGGGGCAAGCGUUUGUUCGGAAUUACUGGGCGUAAAGGGCUCGUAGGUGGCCAACUAAGUCAGACGUGAAAUCCCUCGGCUUAACCGGGGAACUGCGUCUGAUACUGGAUGGCUUGAGUGUGGGAGAGGGAUGCGGAAUUCCAGGUGUAGCGGUGAAAUGCGUAGAUAUCUGGAGGAACACCGGUGGCGAAGGCGGCAUCCUGGACCAUUACUGACACUGAAUAGCGAAAGCCAGGGGAGCAAACGGG